rnacentral:rRNA from 1 species
ACAUGAAGCUGGAAUCGCUAGUAAUCGCGGAUCAGAAUGCCGCGGUGAAUACGUUCCCGGGUCUUGUACACACCGCCCGUCACACCAUGGGAGUCGGUAACACCCGAAGUCGGUAGCCUAACCGUAAGGAGGGCGCCGCCGAAGGUGGGAUUGAUGACUGGGGUGAAGUCGUAACAAGGUACC